GACGAACGCUGGCGGCGUGCUUAACACAUGCAAGUCGAACGGAAAGGCCCUGCUUUUGUGGGGUGCUCGAGUGGCGAACGGGUGAGUAACACGUGAGUAACCUGCCCUUGACUUUGGGAUAACUUCAGGAAACUGGGGCUAAUACCGGAUAGGAGCUCCUGCUGCAUGGUGGGGGUUGGAAAGUUUCGGCGGUUGGGGAUGGACUCGCGGCUUAUCAGCUUGUUGGUGGGGUAGUGGCUUACCAAGGCUUUGACGGGUAGCCGGCCUGAGAGGGUGACCGGCCACAUUGGGACUGAGAUACGGCGCAGACUCCUACGGGAGGCAGCAGUGGGGAGUAUUGCACAAUGGGCGGAAGCGUGAUGCAGCAACGCCGCGUGCGGGAUGACGGCCUUCGGGUUGUAAACCGCUUUCGCCUGUGACGAAGCGUGAGUGACGGUAAUGGGUAAAGAAGCACCGGCUAACUACGUG
rnacentral:rRNA from 1 species